UCGUGACCGGUCGAGUGAUUUCGCGGAUGCCAUAUUGAAAAUUUUCGAUAUAUCGAUAAUCUCGUUGCAGGAUAUCGUUAAUGGAUGCGAGUGAUCAAAAUUCUUUCUACUUUUUUUCCCUUCUUAUUUAAAGUUAUUAUUAAAAUGUAAAAAGUAUUAUUUCUAGAAAGAAUCAUUAGAAAUAAUUGUAACCUAAAGUUUUAUCUGCUUGAUAUAUUAUCGAAUGCAUCGACAAGUGUAAAAGUUAAGUGUUAAAAUGUAAAAAGUAUUAUUUCUAGAAAGAAUCGUUAGAAAGAAUUCUAACCUAAAGUUUUAUCUGCUUGAUAUUUUAACGAUAUUAUCGAUACAUCGAAUGCAUCGACAAAUGUAAAAGUUAAGUGUAAAAAGUAUUAUUUCUAGAAAGAAUCGUUAGAAAGAACUCUAACCUAAAGUUUUAUCUGCUUGAUAUUUUAACGAUAUUAUCGAUACAUCGAAUGCAUCGACAACGUACCAAUAGUUCGAUAUAUACGUGUACAUCAUUAGCUCGACGAUUCUAACUUCUAUUUUCAAUAAUUCUUUCUCAAUUUUAAAUUUUGAUUUAAAAACAAGUACAAAACCAGUGCCAGUGUUACGAUUACAAGUGUUACGAUUCGACAAGAGGUUAUAUAUACGUAUAUAAAAUUUAAAUCCAACGUAAAUGCAUCGAAUGCAUCGACAACGUACCAAUAGUUCGAUAUAUAUACGUGUACAUCAUUAAUGGUAGCUCGACGAUUCCAACUUCCAUUUUCAAUAAUUCUUUCUCAAUUUUAACAUUUGAUUUAAAAACAAAACCAGUGCCAGUGUUACGAUUACAAGUGUUACGAUUCGACAGGAGGUUAUAUAUACGUAUAUAAAAUUUAAAUCCAACGUAAAUGAGUCAACAUAACCUAUUACCACGCUCGUCCACGAGAAGACUACGAAACGAAUAAAAACCUGAAUAUUGGACCCCCGUGACCAGCUCCUUGACGUCCGCGUCGGACGUUCUCCUAAGCAGAUUGAUCAACGCGGGGACACCGCCCGCGUUCUUGAUGGCCCUCUUGUUCUCGUCGUUCUGCCUCCCGUACGACAAGUUCCUCAACGCGCCGCACGCGUUCCUGUACACGUCCGGAUUGUCGUGGUCGAGCAACUGAACCAGGGGCGGUAUACCGCCCAGGCUACGCGUCUUCUGCUUGUUCGGGUCGUCCAUGUAGCACAGGUGUUGCAGAUUCGGGUCCCGCCAUCUCAUCGACUUCUGGUCGUCGUCCAACGGGCUCGCCAUCCCGGCCACGACAGGGUGGCGCGACUGCAGCCGUUGCAGGUGGACCUCGUCGUCGAACAUGCCGGCCGGCACGCCCGCGGGCAGCGGGACCGGGUGGCCCUCGUCGUAGCCGGGCACGUCGCUGGGAACCUGGACCGGACCCACGCCGACGCCAGGGCCGUAUCCGACCGGCCCGUACGGGGACGGGGACACGUAACCGUUAGGUGCCCCUCCUUUUGAGUAGCAGUCGACACGCAUAAUUCACUCGCAUUAUCUUGCGGCAAUGACAAGGUGUUUUUGGGACGAGUGAUUAAAUGUCGAGAAGAGAGAUAGAUAGAGAGAGAGAAUGUUAAAUAAAUUAUUGAUGUGACCCUACCAUGAGGAUGCUGAGAGGGUUCGCCGGAGUCAUCCAUAUUCCAAGAGUUGCUGAUUUGAUCUAGAGAGGACACAAAAUAACAAACGAAUGUCAGGUAUAGAGAUAAUUAAAGUGAAUUAUGCUCGCUCCUUCUGUGCGCAUAUGGACAAAAAUUUCAACCCUCCUGCAAUAUGAUGAUGAUAGUUGAAUAUCUCGUUAUGGAGCUGUCUAGGUGAAAAUCUGAAUUUCUUUGGGCAACGACGAGAAACAGGGAGAGGAGGUAAAUAUAAUGAAAGAGGGCCACCAGGACUAGGAGUAAUACGAUAAUGAUCUUGCAACGCGGGAUUCAAACCUGGAUCGAUGUCGUUGUAACCUCCUUCCACGUACGGCGCCGCCUUGCGCAGAGAUAAUAAUUUUUCCAACAAAAAAAAGAAAAAGUCUUACCAUGCGGAGGCGAGGCACGACUGUGCUCCGAAGGACUGUGGGGGCUGUGAGGGGAGUGCGAGCGUGGCAUGUAGAUUCCAUGAGGGCCUGGAUACCCUGGUUGGGGCGGAUAGCCGAGGUAGGGCUCGUAAUGCUCGAAACCGACCAUGUAGGAGUCGGCCGGGUACCGUCGGUCGGCGUGCUGGUAGUCCUGGGACAUCAACGGCACCGACAUGUAGCUCACCGCGCCCGGAUCCGGCUCCAUGUGUGACACCUCGCGCACCACCUUCGAGACGUUUGUUACCUGAAAUUAUCACCAGGUUGAAUGGAAGAGAAUGGAAAGUUGAGUAAUACCGGGCGAUAGUUUUCUAGUUCUUCUUAAGAUUCUGAGAAAUAAUUUGUGGAAAUUACUGAUGAACAAUCGUUAAGAGUGAAAAGGAAAUGGCGGGGCCGGGUAAAUUAGAGCGUAGGUAAAACUGGAAACGGAUCUCACUUGUUGAGUAGUUUGCUGCUUAUGGCUCCGGAUGAGUAAUGGAUCCUCCUGGACAGAUAAAUGAGACGAAUGCAACGAAUGGGUAUCCGCCUGGCCGUUACUUCCGUGGUAAUCUGCAUCACUCUGUCCGCUGCAAAAUGAUCAAUUAGAGAUACCGCCAACAAUCGCCGAUUUAUUCGCUUGAGAUUCGUUAGCUUACGUGUAUUGCGGCAUGUCGGGGCCCUUCUCCUGGAGAACGCGUCUGGAAAAAAGAAAAUACGCAUGGAACGAAUCACUACUUGGUCUUGGAUUUGUUAUUCGCGUGGAAACGAGCCAUCAAAACGAAUAUUAAACAGCUAAAAUAAUUUUGGAAAAAGAAAAAAAAAAAAUUGGUAUAUGUAUCGGUACGUGCAAUUGGUAGACGAGAUAAAAAAGAAAUAAAUGAAUAAAUAAAUAAAGCGCACACCGAGCUGAAACGGUAAUAAACAAAGUAAUGAAAAAGGAACCAAGAACAAA
rnacentral:lncRNA from 1 species